AGCCUGAUGCAGCGACGCCGCGUGGGGGAUGACGGCCUUCGGGUUGUAAACCCCUUUCAGUAGGGAAGAAGCGAGAGUGACGGUACCUGCAGAAGAAGCGCCGGCUAACUACGUGCCAGCAGCCGCGGUAAUACGUAGGGCGCAAGCGUUGUCCGGAAUUAUUGGGCGUAAAGAGCUUGUAGGUGGCUUGUCGCGUCUGCCGUGAAAACCCGAGGCUCAACCUCGGGCGUGCGGUGGGUACGGGCAGGCUAGAGUGUGGUAGGGGAGACUGGAACUCCUGGUGUAGCGGUGAAAUGCGCAGAUAUCAGGAAGAACACCGAUGGCGAAGGCAGGUCUCUGGGCCAUUACUGACACUGAGAAGCGAAAGCAUGGGUAGCGAACAGGAUUAGAUACCCUGGUAGUCCAUGCCGUAAACGUUGGGCACUAGGUGUGGGGGACAUUCCACGUUUUCCGCGCCGUAGCUAACGCAUUAAGUGCCCCGCCUGGGGAGUACGGCCGCAAGGCUAAAACUCAAAGGAAUUGACGGGGGCCCGCACAAGCGGCGGAGCAUGCUGAUUAAUUCGAUGCAACGCGAAGAACCUUACCAAGGCUUGACAUGCACUGGACGGCUGCAGAGAUGUGGCUUUCUUCGGACUGGUGCACAG
rnacentral:rRNA from 1 species